CCUACGGGGGGCUGCAGUGGGGAAUAUUGGACAAUGGGGGGAACCCUGAUCCAGCCAUGCCGCGUGUGUGAAGAAGGCCCUCGGGUUGUAAAGCACUUUCAGUGAGGAAGAACGCCUGGUGGUUAAUACCCAUCAGGAAAGACAUCACUCACAGAAGAAGCACCGGCUAACUCCGUGCCAGCAGCCGCGGUAAUACGGAGGGUGCGAGCGUUAAUCGGAAUUACUGGGCGUAAAGCGCGCGUAGGUGGCUUGAUAAGCCGGUUGUGAAAGCCCCGGGCUCAACCUGGGAACGGCAUCCGGAACUGUCAAGCUAGAGUGCAGGAGAGGAAGGUAGAAUUCCCGGUGUAGCGGUGAAAUGCGUAGAGAUCGGGAGGAAUACCAGUGGCGAAGGCGGCCUUCUGGACUGACACUGACACUGAGGUGCGAAAGCGUGGUAGCAAACAGGAUUAGAUACCCGGGUAGUC
rnacentral:rRNA from 1 species